rnacentral:lncRNA from 12 species
CCCCCCCCCCCCCCCCCCCCCCCCCCCCCCCCCCCCCCCCCCCCCCCCCCCCCCCCCCCCCCCCCCCCCCCGAGCUUGCCGCGUGGCAGGAAGCAGGAGGGAGGCCAGGUGGGGGUGACCUGCAGGGACACCCCGGGAUCCACAAAACGGGAGGUGGAGGGACCUUCCCGGGUGGGUGCACGCAGGAGGUGCCGGUUCCACUCUGGGGAAUCUCAGUCACGGCAUUUCCGAAUGUUUGGAGUAAAUCCGGGUGCUGGGCUUUGACACCCAGGGAUGCUGCGAUGCUGAGGCUUGAGGUGUGUGGGGAGCAGAUGGAUGGGGGGCCACGCUGAUCCCCCAAAACAUCACAGAGCCACGGCCAGGAGGGUCAGCACCACUGCAUGCUGGUGGCUUUCCUGGUGUGGGCAACCUCAUGGGUUUGUGGCCACCAGGUGCCCAUCCCGCGGCUGCCCGGGGUCUCUCCCUUGCAGGCAGCCGUGCCACGGGCACCAUGAGGGGUCUCUGGGCCCUGGCGCUCGCCGGGCUCGUCAGCGCCUGCCAGGGGAAGGAGCUGCUGCCAGCGGAAGGGGAGCUGUGCCCGCAGCUCUGGGACGAGGAUCUGGUUGGGGACAAGUAUGAGAAUGUCACAGGUUUUAACCUGAUCAAAAGGUUCGACCUGCUGAAGAUCUCGUCCGUCAAGAAGAUCCGCAGCGCCCGGGGGCCGGCGGUGCUGCGCCUGGGCACCGUGCCCCUGGUCCAGCCCACGCAGCAGGUGUUCCCCCGGGGGCUGCCCCCCACCUUCACCCUGGUGAUCACCUUGCUGCUGAAGAAGAACAGCACCGGGGAGCACUGGUACCUGUUCCAGGUCACCGACCGGCAGGGAUACCCCCAGGUACAGCUGGGAAUGUGUCAGGAUGCUGGGAUCCUGCCGGGGGGGCAGAUCGGGGGGGGGCCCCCCCCCCCCCCCCCCCCCCCCCCCCCCCCCCCCCCCCCCCCCCCCCCCCCCCCCCCCCCCCCCCCCCCCCCCCCCCCCCCCCCCCC